rnacentral:rRNA from 1 species
AACGAACGCUGGCGGCAUGCCUAACACAUGCAAGUCGAACGAGACCUUCGGGUCUAGUGGCGCACGGGCGCGUAACGCGUGGGAACCUGCCCUUAGGUUCGGAAUAACUCCCCGAAAGGGGUGCUAAUACCGGAUAAUGUCUUCGGACCAAAGAUUUAUCGCCUUUGGAUGGGCCCGCGUUGGAUUAGCUAGUUGGUAGGGUAAAAGCCUACCAAGGCGACGAUCCAUAGCUGGUCUGAGAGGGUGAUCAGCCACACUGGGACUGAGACACGGCCCAGACUCCUACGGGAGGCAGCAGUGGGGAAUAUUGGACAAUGGGCGAAAGCCUGAUCCAGCAAUGCCGCGUGAGUGAUGAAGGCCUUAGGGUUGUAAAGCUCUUUUACCCGGGAUGAUAAUGACAGUACCGGGAGAAUAAGCGCCGGCUAACUCCGUG